UUCAAAUACGAAGUAGAUGUAAAAUUUAUGAACAAAAUGAGAGCGGAUACGUGGCGACUCUAGUGAAAAUGUGCGCGCCGGUCUGUGUGUCGGUAAAAGCUGUAGAGUUGUUAUUCGAUUCAGCUGUCUGAGGAGCGCAUGUUCCACGGAUGCAGAGUUUUACGCGGUCGGAGCUGCUUAAGAUAUUUUUGUAUCUGGAAGUGUAACAUAAACAUAUGUUUUGAUCGUAGAUUCAGAUAAAUAUAACGCUAAGGAUAAUUCUAUUGGGUUGGCAACUAAGUUAUUUGGUGGUAAUGACAAAAUCCGCAAUCACUUAGUUGUCAACCCAACAGUUGUCAUAUCGGUUAUAGGUUAUACCGAUUUGUUUUUCUUAGCAUAAAUUGUCGGCGAGCAUAGAUGUGAUGGUGCAACACAGGGGAAAUGGACUGUGACGAAUAACAAGAAGCAACAGCAGGAGGGUGAAAUAAAGAAGGACAGGAAGAAGAAGAAGAAGAAGAAGAAGCGCGUGAAUGUGUCAAAUAUGUAAAAAACAUUAUUGUAGGUUAGACGCGAGAAGAUUUGAAACAAGUAAGAAAGGAAUGGAAAGAGAAAAGUAAUUGAGCUUUAUUUGCGAAGUGGGAAUAGAAUAGAUAAUAGGUAAUAUGUAAUGCAAUAUAAUUUUGUGGAUGAUAGAAGAACUGAUUUAUUUGGAUUCUAGAAGACUAAAGAAUAGGUAAAAAUGCAUUUAGGAGAUAUAUGUGUGCGUUGUUUAUUUGACCAUUGACCAUAAACUGCUAAAUUAUUGAAAUAAUUUUUCCAAACUCUCUGCGAUACUCGCCUUAGAAUGAGAAUGGAAACUAGUAAAUUUGAGAUGAAGAUAAAGAUGCGUCAGACUUUCGCCAGAUUCGAAAAUGAUCGUUACUCUUUCUCCGUCUUUCGUUUAAUUUCUCGAUGGCCUAAUCGCAGCAAGCUGGAGUCCAUACUGAACGUGUAUCGUAGUUAUUAAUCGCGCCAUGUGAUUUGCCAGGAAUAGCAUGAAAUAAAUUUUUAUUAAAAAAAAAAA